rnacentral:tRNA from 2 species
UCCCCGGUAGCUCAAUUUGGCAGAGCGGGCGGCUGUUAACCGCCAGGUUGCAGGUUCGAGUCCUGCCCGGGGAGCCA